GGGUUGUGAGGUUAAGCGACUAAGCGUACACGGUGGAUGCCCUGGCAGUCAGAGGCGAUGAAGGACGUGCUAAUCUGCGAUAAGCGUCGGUAAGGUGAUAUGAACCGUUAUAACCGGCGAUUUCCGAAUGGGGAAACCCAGUGUGUUUCGACACACUAUCAUUAACUGAAUCCAUAGGUUAAUGAGGCGAACCGGGGGAACUGAAACAUCUAAGUACCCCGAGGAAAAGAAAUCAACCGAGAUUCCCCCAGUAGCGGCGAGCGAACGGGGAGCAGCCCAGAGCCUGAAUCAGUAUGUGUGUUAGUGGAAGCGUCUGGAAAGGCGCGCGAUACAGGGUGACAGCCCCGUACACAAAAAUGCACAUGCUGUGAGCUCGAUGAGUAGGGCGGGACACGUGGUAUCCUGUCUGAAUAUGGGGGGACCAUCCUCCAAGGCUAAAUACUCCUGACUGACCGAUAGUGAACCAGUACCGUGAGGGAAAGGCGAAAAGAACCCCGGCGAGGGGAGUGAAAAAGAACCUGAAACCGUGUACGUACAAGCAGUGGGAGCACGCUUAGGCGUGUGACUGCGUACCUUUUGUAUAAUGGGUCAGCGACUUAUAUUCUGUAGCAAGGUUAACCGAAUAGGGGAGCCGAAGGGAAACCGAGUCUUAACUGGGCGUUAAGUUGCAGGGUAUAGACCCGAAACCCGGUGAUCUAGCCAUGGGCAGGUUGAAGGUUGGGUAACACUAACUGGAGGACCGAACCGACUAAUGUUGAAAAAUUAGCGGAUGACUUGUGGCUGGGGGUGAAAGGCCAAUCAAACCGGGAGAUAGCUGGUUCUCCCCGAAAGCUAUUUAGGUAGCGCCUCGUGAAUUCAUCUCCGGGGGUAGAGCACUGUUUCGGCAAGGGGGUCAUCCCGACUUACCAACCCGAUGCAAACUGCGAAUACCGGAGAAUGUUAUCACGGGAGACACACGGCGGGUGCUAACGUCCGUCGUGAAGAGGGAAACAACCCAGACCGCCAGCUAAGGUCCCAAAGUCAUGGUUAAGUGGGAAACGAUGUGGGAAGGCCCAGACAGCCAGGAUGUUGGCUUAGAAGCAGCCAUCAUUUAAAGAAAGCGUAAUAGCUCACUGGUCGAGUCGGCCUGCGCGGAAGAUGUAACGGGGCUAAACCAUGCACCGAAGCUGCGGCAGCGACGCUGAUGCGUUGUUGGGUAGGGGAGCGUUCUGUAAGCCUGCGAAGGUGUGCUGUGAGGCAUGCUGGAGGUAUCAGAAGUGCGAAUGCUGACAUAAGUAACGAUAAAGCGGGUGAAAAGCCCGCUCGCCGGAAGACCAAGGGUUCCUGUCCAACGUUAAUCGGGGCAGGGUGAGUCGACCCCUAAGGCGAGGCCGAAAGGCGUAGUCGAUGGGAAACAGGUUAAUAUUCCUGUACUUGGUGUUACUGCGAAGGGGGGACGGAGAAGGCUAUGUUGGCCGGGCGACGGUUGUCCCGGUUUAAGCGUGU
rnacentral:rRNA from 1 species